rnacentral:rRNA from 1 species
GACGAACGCUGGCGGCGUGCUUAACACAUGCAAGUCGAACGAAAAGAGGGAAAGAGCUUGCUCUUUCCGGAAUUGAGUGGCAAACGGGUGAGUAACACGUAAACAACCUGCCUUCAGGAUGGGGACAACAGACGGAAACGACUGCUAAUACCGAAUAAGUUCCAAGAGCCGCAUGGCCCAUGGAAGAAAAGGUGGCCUCUACCUGUAAGCUAUCGCCUGAAGAGGGGUUUGCGUCUGAUUAGCUGGUUGGAGGGGUAACGGCCCACCAAGGCGACGAUCAGUAGCCGGUCUGAGAGGAUGAACGGCCACACUGGAACUGAGACACGGUCCAGACUCCUACGGGAGGCAGCAGUGGGGAAUCUUCCGCAAUGGGCGAAAGCCUGACGGAGCAACGCCGCGUGAGUGAUGACGGCCUUCGGGUUGUAAAACUCUGUGAUCCGGGACGAAAAGGCAGAGUGCGAAGAACAAACUGCAUUGACGGUACCGGAAAAGCAAGCCACGGCUAACUACGCG